GCAUGGUAAUGGAUUUAUGGCGGGUCCUCUGUGGGCCUCUCAUAGUGUACCCAUGCCAGAGUAAACUGCAGCCUCGAACCAUUGCCCAGCCUCCUUACCAGUGGGCUGUGAGCACUGAAGGGGGUUGUAUAGUG
ensembl:snoRNA SNORA80E small nucleolar RNA, H/ACA box 80E